rnacentral:rRNA from 1 species
UACGGAGGGGGCUAGCGUUGUUCGGAAUUACUGGGCGUAAAGCGCACGUAGGCGGCUUUGUAAGUUAGAGGUGAAAGCCCGGAGCUCAACUCCGGAACUGCCUUUAAGACUGCAUCGCUUGAAUCCAGGAGAGGUGAGUGGAAUUCCGAGUGUAGAGGUGAAAUUCGUAGAUAUUCGGAAGAACACCAGUGGCGAAGGCGGCUCACUGGACCGAUACUGACGCUGAGGAGCGAAAGCGUGGGGAGCGAACAGG